UGCGAGUCGACAUAGCAAUAUGUGGCAUACGGCUCAGUAACACGUAGUCAACAUGCCCAGGGGACGUGGAUAACCUCGGGAAACUGAGGAUAAACCGCGAUAGGUCACUGCUUCUGGAAUGGGCAAUGACUUAAACCUAUAUGGCCCCUGGAUUGGACUGCGGCCGAUCAGGCUGUUGGUGAGGUAAUGGCCCACCAAACCUGUAACCGGUACGGGCUCUGAGAGGAGGAGCCCGGAGAUGGGCACUGAGACAAGGGCCCAGGCCCUAUGGGGCGCAGCAGGCGCGAAACCUCUGCAAUAGGCGAAAGCCUGACAGGGUUACUCUGAGUGAUCUCCGUUAAGGAGGUCUUUUGGCAUCUCUAAAAAGGGUGCAGAAUAAGGGGUGGGCAAGUCUGGUGUCAGCCGCCGCGGUAAUACCAGCACCCCGAGUGGUCGGGACGUUUAUUGGGCCUAAAGCAUCCGUAGCCGGUUCUGCAAGUCUUCCGUUAAAUCCACCUGCUUAACAGAUGGGCUGCGGAAGAUACUACAGAGCUAGGAGGCGGGAGAGGCAAGCGGUACUCGAUGGGUAGGGGUAAAAUCCGUUGAUCCAUUGAAGACCACCAGUGGCGAAGGCGGCUUGCCAGAACGCGCUCGACGGUGAGGGAUGAAAGCUGGGGGAGCAAACCGGAUUAGAUACCCGGGUAGUCCCAGCUGUAAACGAUGCAGACUCGGUGAUGAGUUGGCUUCUUGCUAACUCAGUGCCGCAGGGAAGCCGUUAAGUUUGCCGCCUGGGGAGUACGGUCGCAAGACUGAAACUUAAAGGAAUUGGCGGGGGA
rnacentral:rRNA from 1 species